GUGUUUCCUGAGGGUUACCAUGGCAGGAGCUCUGCAGAAGUCCCGGUCUCCCAGUGCACCAAGGAUCUCCUGUGCAGUGAUGGAUCUCAAGUCACCUUUUCAAAGGCAAUAAGGACUUCUCAUACUAAAACAGAAGAUUAAGCUCUUCCAGAACUAACUGGAAUACAUCUGAAUUCUUCAAAAAUAUGCUCUUGAGACACUAAAUCAUUUGCAAGUAUCUGAAUAGUUUAAACACUGAAAUAAUUUCUUCAGAUUCAUAUGAGCAGAAAAUUGAAAAAGGAUUAGAGAACAGUUUUCCUAUUCAAACAUCUGAUGAUUAUAUGAAAUCAUUACAAAUGUUCAAAUUAAAGCAUAAUGAAGCAGGACAUGGCAGAACGAACAGGGAGAUGCUGAUGAGGAUCUAAGAAUUCUCUUCUUCUGGUAACGCGAUGUCUGCACUGUAAAGCACUGCUGCACUGGCUUAGGCAGAGAAAGGUGUUUGAAAGCAGACUGCUUGGACUAGGGAAAAGUGAACUGCUUUCAGAAAACAGAAGAGAGCAAAUAGAGCCAGUGUUGCUAGGCAGAGACUAUCAAAGGAGCAGAGAAUGAUGCAGCUUCCUAUCACAAAUAAAUAAGGUAGCAAGAAGAUAUCCCCAUCUGAAGAUGAGUCGUUCUAGCAAGAAACUCUGGAACAAUGGCUUGCUCAGUGAGGGUCCCUUCUUUUGCUAGGACAUCUCCUUGGAAUGGCAGCUGUGGCUGAACUGCCAAAGCUGACUGACAGCCGGUACCCAGCCUUGAACCAAAACAACUGCUUCCAGGAAAAGCAUCCUGUUCUAAGAAAUCACAUUCCAAAUCUCAUGAAGAAUUGUGUGUGAGAAUCUCACACUGAGGCAUAUGACGUUUUUUGGCGUUACCAGUUUGUUUUCUGCAGUUCAAGAUGUCCAAAAUCUUCCAUUUUAUGGAAUCAUUCUUCUGCUGUAUUUGUGGAGGAAAGGAUUUUUGCAGGAUGUGUGACAAGGACUUUGCUACUCCACUGGAUCAGAGGAAUCUGUCCUAGAGCUGUCUUUGAAUAGUUUGCUUGUCUGCAUUCACCAUCUAUCUUUCAACAAUCAGCAGAAAAGAAAAGAAGCCGAGUAAUGCUGCUGGUUAGAAGUUUUCUUCACUGUUCACUGAAAAUGAGCACAUAGUCUGAAGCCAGCAGAGGGGUCUGAGGAGAGUGAAUACAGUCUGCAAAAUAGUAGAUUCAAAAAAAAAAAAAAGGGGGGGGGGGGGACAGCAUAAUUUUUAUAGCCCUGAGAAGUAAUUUAAUAAAGGUAUUGUAUGUCUUGCAUGUCUUUUGUUUUUCUUUCAAUGAAGCUUCCCCAAAUAGUUCACAAAUAGUUUCUUUAGCAGGGGAAUUUGACACUAUUGUUCGAUACAGUGAUGUGCCCACAACACUGGGAAGUAAUGUUUUUCUACAAGGAAGGGAUUUUUUUGCAUGGCUGUGCUUUCACUUUUUGAUGUGAGUGAGGUGAUCUAUACCCAGGUCAAUGCUUUGGAAUGCUUUUUAAAAAUGUUUAAAGAAAAAAAAAAAAAGAAAAAGAAACAAAACCCCAUCUUCUAGAUUUCCUAUAUAGUAGAUCCCUUUUACUCCUUUGCAGAAUGCCAGGAACCUAAACAAAAGCCUGUCUAUAAACAGAGCUAUCAAGCCAAAAAGGGCCCUGCUGAGCUUUUAUUCACCUGUUCUGUUUUUCUAUAGUCCUUCAUGAGAGCCAUAUUUCUGAGUUCUGUCAUUCAUAUACUUUAUGGAAAUGGCUACCUGGUUAUGGGCAUGCUGAAUGCCUGCAGAACAGUGAAGAAUGAUCAUUUUAAAGACAUUUGUAAAAGCAAUAUUAAGCUUGGUGUU